CGCGGAAAGGGGAGCCCCAGCUCCCGAGCCCCAGGCGCGCGUCCUUGGGGACGUCACAGCGCUGGAAUCCGAGGAAUGCCGGGCUGCAGGAGCUCCUUCUGCAGGCCCGGGGGAAGUCGCGCACUUUUAAUGUGGUGGCUUUGGAGAAGGUUUUCAAAGUGCCACAGAAUCGCCCCACCCAGCCUGGGUAGGCACUGGGAGGGAACUUCCUUAGCAUUUUCGGAGGUGGAGUUAAAGAGACGCAGCUGGUAAGAUGGAACAGGCACCGAGCCAGGCCGGGGAACCCGGGUUUUCGGACCUGACCUGUGGUGAAAUCCAAGUCUCCAGGAGGAACUUAAAAACAACAACAACAACAACAAAAACACCUGGUCUGGCACCCAGAACCCUGAGGGCUGAAAGCCAGAGUGGAUUGUCCUAUAAGAAUCAAACCAUUCACCGUCUGGCCUUCAGGUUCGGUCUGCCAGCCAGGAGGGAACAGGAAGCUUGUCUCUGAGUCCAGGACUAUGGAAUGCAAACCCCCAAGCAGUUAUUUGCUGUGGUUUUAAGCUUUGUCCUGGAAGGUAAGAACAAUGUGAACUCUCUUCUAAGUAGCAUU